GACCUCACGUCAGGCGGGGCUACCCGCUGAGUUUAAGCAUAUCAAUAAGCGGAGGAGAAG
rnacentral:rRNA from 1 species